UAACAACAAGAGUUCCGCGGUCGGAGAUGACCGCAUUGAAGCCGGAUUUUUGAUUUAAAUGACAGGAAAGUACCUUUCGUGUUUUUGUCAAUGCAAUACUUAAAUUACUGAAAUAUUGUUCAAAGGUCAAAAUGAAAUGUAAGUACUUUUCAAGGCAUGAGCAAACCUUGUGUUAUGUUUUGAAUGCAUGCAUAUACAUGAACAACAAUAACCAGUGGUCAUCUAAGUGUGCUUGCAAACCUUCAUGUCAAGUUUGAAGACUCUAUGUCCAAGCAUACCAAAGUUAUAACAAUUUUAACAUUUUAACAUUUAAGGUCACAGUGACCUUGACCUUCAAAUGAAUGACAUUGAAAUGACCAGUGGUCAUCUUCUAGUACUGGCCAAUCUUUAUUUCAAGUUUGAAGACUCUAGGUACAAGCAUACCAAAGUUAUAACAUGAAAUAAGAACUUUAACAUUUUUACAUUCAAGGUCACAGUGACCUUGACCUUCAAAUGAAUGACCUUGAAAUGUCCAGUGGUUACUUACUAGUUCUGGCCAACCUUCAUGUCAAGUUUCAAGACUCUAGGUCCAAGCAUACCAAAGUUAUAACAACUUUAACAUUUUUACAUUCAAGGUCACAGUGACCUUGACCUUUAAAUGAAUGACCUUGAAAUGUCCAGUGGUUACUUACUAGUUCUGGCCAACCUUCAUGUCAAGUUUCAAGACUCUAGGUCCAAGCAUACCAAAGUUAUAACAACUUUAACAUUUUUACAUUCAAGGUCACAGUGACCUUGACCUUCAAAUGAAUGACCUUGAAAUGUCCAGUGGUUACUUACUAGUCCUGGCCAACCUUCAUGUCAAGUUUCAAGACUCUAGGUCCAAGCAUACCAAAGUUAUAACAACUUUAACAUUUUUACAUUCAAGGUCACAGUGACCUUGACCUUCAAAUGAAUGACCUUGAAAUGUCCAGUGGUUACUUACUAGUUCUGGCCAACCUUCAUGUCAAGUUUCAAGACUCUAGGUCCAAGCAUACCAAAGUUAUAACAACUUUAACAUUUUUAUAUUGAAGGUCACAGUGACCUUCACCUUCAAAUGAAUGACCUUGAAAUGACCAGUGGUCAUCUGUUAAUCCUGGCCAACCUUCAUGUCAAGUUUGAAGACUCUAGGUCCAAGCAUACCAAAGUUAUACCAUGAAAUAAGAACUUUAACAUUUUUACAUUCAAGGUCACAGUGACCUUGACCUUCAAAUGAAUGACCUUGAAAUGACCAGUGGUUACUAACUAGUUAUGGCCAACCUUCAUGUCAAGUUUCAAGACUCUAGGUCCAAGCAUACCAAAGUUAUAACAACUUUAACAUUUUUUAUAUUGAAGGUCACAGUGACCUUGACCUUCAAAUGAAUGACCUUGAAAUGACCAGUGGUCAUCUGUUAAUCCUGGCCAACCUUCAUGUCAAGUUUGAAGACUCUAGGUCCAAGCAUACCAAAGUUAUACCAUGAAAUAAGAACUUUAACAUUUUCG